rnacentral:tmRNA from 1 species
GGGCUUGUACUGGUUUCGACGGGGGUUUUGAAGCUUGGGAAGCCAUCCGCAGACUCCUGGACUGCGCACCAACCGGGAACCUAAAUAUAAACGCAGACGAACAGUACGCGUUAGCAGCCUAAUUGCUGCUCGUCAGCCCUGAAGCACUCACACUUUAGGAAUCUGGCGCCAACUAUGUGAGAAACCUUGCCGGGUAAGCUUUGCCCCGGUAGAUGUAUCAUGAAGCUACUGAAGCAGUAAGCCUGUCGGUGGGCGUGCUGCUAAGGGAAUGUUA